GAAGGCACAGAGUUGCACAACCCACGAAGGGACCCUUAAAGCAAUCGGGAGCUCCACCUGAGCCCAGAUUGAUUCCAAGUGUUGAAAGCCCAAAAAAUUACUAUAGAUCCCAAUUGUCUCAGAUGGCUUUGUGGUAAGACCUCCCAGCAGGCCACUCAAAUGACUGUCAUCUGUGAGGACCAGAAG